UACGAAGGGGGCUAGCGUUGUUCGGAAUUACUGGGCGUAAAGCGCGCGCAGGCGGUCUUCCAAGUCAGUGGUGAAAGCCCGGAGCUCAACUCCGGAAUUGCCAUUGAAACUGUUAGACUUGAGGACGAGAGAGGUGAGUGGAAUUCCCAGUGUAGAGGUGAAAUUCGUAGAUAUUGGGAAGAACACCGGUGGCGAAGGCGGCUCACUGGCUCGUUUCUGACGCUCAGGCGCGACAGCGUGGGGAUCAAACAGG
rnacentral:rRNA from 1 species